CAUGCUUCAUGCAUCGAACUGUCUAACCGCGACCCCCUCAGUCCCCUUUGCUCAUGUGUGCCUAUUGUGCCCGAUGGGCCAACGUCGAUUUCCUGUGUUGCAUACCGGUGGGAUCGGAAACGAAUGCUUCCCUGUUGGAUUUUCAUCCGACCUCUGUUCGGGGGUUGCGAUGAACGCUGUAGUACCUCCUGUGUUCCAGGCACAUCGAUCGCUCGAAUGUCAUGGCAUAUGGGCAGGUUGCUCGUGCUUUCGGAUGCGGAAAGUGGGUUUCGGUUAAGGGGAUCACACCCCACAGUUGCCUGAUUAAACGCUCGCGUUAUAAACAAAGAACGACUUGCGAUGCUUGUCUCCUGCCCUUGGCAAUGCCAGGAUCGGGGCGGGCAUCGAGGUCGCGAAGGAAUGC
rnacentral:misc_RNA from 1 species